GAUUAACGCUGGCGGCGUGCAUAACACAUGCAAGUCGAACGAAGUGGCGGACGGGUGAGUAACGCAUGAGUAACCUGCCUUAGAGAAGGGGAUAGCCUUUGGAAACGAAGAAUAAUACGCUAUGCCUUAUGAUGGAGUUAAGUCUGAUUAGUUAGUUGGUGGGGUAACGGCUCACCAAGACAGCGAUCAGUAGCCGGCUUGGGAGAGGGUACGGCCACAUUGGGACUGAGACACGGCCCGGACUCUACGGGAGGCAGCAGUGGUGAAUUUUGCACAAUGGGGGAAACCCGGAUGCAGCGACGCCGCGUGAUUUAGAAGGCCGUCGGGUUGUAAAAAUCGUUUCUAUGGGAAGCAGUACCAUUGGAAUAAGGACCGGCUAAUUACGUGCCAGCAGCCGCGGUAAUUC
rnacentral:rRNA from 1 species